ACUUGUCCUAAUGUGACAACUGGUUUGAUUUCUGGGGAAGGGGAACCGUGGUGACUGUCUCCUCAGCCAGACCCACAGCUCCAUCCGUCUUUCCCCUGGUAUCCAGUUGUGGACAGGAAACAGCAGCCCAGAUGGCUCUGGGCUGCCUGGUGACAAGCUACUUCCCUGAGCCAGUGACAGUGACAUGGAAUUCAGGGACCACCACCAGUGGAAUCCAGACCUAUCCCUCUGUACUCCAGCCCUCAGGACUCUACACUUUAACCAGUCAGUUGACAAUUCCUGCAGAUUCUUGGUCCUCUCAGUCAUAUACCUGCAAUGUGGCUCACCCAGCCACAUCCACCAAGAUCGACAAGAAAAUUGAAGCAACUACUACAACAUGUCCAUGCUGCAAAUGCAACACAGUUGACGCCGGUGGACCUUCUGUUUUUGUCUUCCCUCCAAAUCCUCAGGAUGUCCUCAAACUCUCAAGAUCCCCUAAAGUUACCUGUAUGGUGGUUGAUGUAAGUGAUGCAUCAGGUGUUCAGAUUACCUGGUUCAAAGGUGAAGAGGAAGUCAGCAGUCCUAAACUCACCCAGAAGAAAUUAAACAAUGGCACCUUUCAGGUGGUCAGCAAUCUCCCUGUAGUCCACCAGGAAUGGCUGAAAGGCACUUCAUACACCUGUAAAGUUAAUACCAGUGAACUACCAGUUGUUGAGAGAAAGACCAUAUCCCACACUAAAGGUGAGAGAAAGAAGCCUGAUAUAUAUGUCUUUGGCCCACAUCCUGAUGAGUUGAAACAAAAAGAUGAUGUCAGUAUUACCUGCCUAGUGACCAAUUUCUUCCCUGAAGAUGUUGUUAUCGAAUGGCAAAAGAACAACAAUCCAGAGUCUGAAGAUAAAUAUUACACCACCCCAACAACGAGGGAAAAGAGCACCUACUUUUUCUACAGCAAGCUUAUUGUGAAGAAAAGAGAUUGGGAUAACCAAAACUCCUAUACCUGCGUAGUGUUGCAUGAGGCCUUUCCAAACCAAAUUUCCCAGAGGACAAUCUCUGCAUCCCCGGAGUUGAUACCAGAUGAGAAUUGUGCUGAGACCAGGGAUGGAGAGCUGGAUGGACUGUGGACCACAAUAUCUAUCUUCAUCACUCUCUUCCUCCUCAGUGUAUGCUACAGUGCCACUGUCACCCUUUUCAAGGUGAAGUGGAUCUUCUCCUCUGUGGUGGAGUUAAAGCAGCCAAUGAUCCCUGACUAUAGGAACAUGAUGGGGCAAGGGGCCUAAAGAGACUAUCUCCUAUCUAUCCUUGGAACUUACUCUCAGAGACAGAGACAUUCAUUAGAAUGAGAGAUCUCGCCACUAUUUCCUCAAAACAGAAGAAAUAUCUCCAUAUAACUAUCAAAUCAAGUUUCUUCCUAAGCAAAGACAUUCACCAGUGGUUUCCUUGAGUAUGGAACAAAGACAUUCUGCCUCUUCUCUAUCCCAGGUCCAGUGCAGUGAAAUGGGGCCUCCAACUAACAAAAGCCUCAUUCUCCACCUAUUGACUUUCUUCUGCGGGGCUGUCAGGGAGAGCAUAUUCUGCAGAACAGGAAUGUAAAGGAAUAGAGAACAGAAGCUACAUGGCCUAGAGUGGAGCUAGCCUCCCUCAGGAGGAAAGACCAGCAUCAUUGUUGUACAGGACAAGAUUGAUAGAUGUCCAUAGUCAUUCUAAUCAGAGUUUCUUCAUUGGUAUUUUUUAAUGAAGUUUCUGUGGUUCAGAUUUGUCCAGGCCUGUGUUCACAUCCUCUCACUGCCCUGACUCAAUAAGAGCUAGACUGUAAUGUGAAACACCUCCUUUCUUAAGUGUUACCAGAAUUUACGACAUCUAUGUCCAUGAGUAAUUGUGAGAUAGUAGCACUGUAAAAAUUUGUGACUAUUGUGACUAUUGUGUAAGUGAUGUCUGGGUGAGAUGGGGAUGAAUGCUCGAAGAUUGGAGCUGGGCCAUGAUAUGAAUGUGCUAUCUUCCCAAUACUAAAAAUGGGCCCCAAACUAUUUCCUUAGUAUUUAGUGGGAAAUGGACAACAAGGAGAGAGAGAGAGAGAGAGAGAGAGAGAGAGAGAGAGAGAGAGAGAGAGAGAGAGAGAGAGAGAGAGAGAGAGAGAGAGAAUGGUAGACUAAGGUGAUGCCACAGAUUGGUCACAAAUUGGGCCCUUACCAAAGACACCUUGGUUGAUUGACCCACAAGUCAAAACCAAAUUCAAAGGGUAUGAAUUCAAAGGGAAGAAACCCUUUGUAAAUUAUGACAGCCUCUCUAACAACUAGAUUAGUAAAAAAAAGUAUAAAAUUUCUAUACUUUUACAUCUGUUUUGUUCUCUUUAAGUUGUAUACUUUAUCUAAGAAUUAGUAAAAUAUUUUUUAUCAAAAAUUUGAUCUUGAUUUUGGAUUAAUUAAAAAAGUACUUUUUGGUAACUAAAACAGGAAAUCUUCAUGUAGUUGGUGCUUAAUAAAUGUUGAAUGAAUAAA